rnacentral:rRNA from 1 species
GCAUGCUGCGGUCUGGGUCACUCUNCUUAACAUGCAAGUCGAACGAUGAAGCCCUUCGGGGUGGAUUAGUGGCGAACGGGUGAGUAACACGUGGGCAAUCUGCCCUUCACUCUGGGACAAGCCCUGGAAACGGGGUCUAAUACCGGAUAACACUCCUGCCUGCAUGGGCGGGGGUUGAAAGCUCCGGCGGUGAAGGAUGAGCCCGCGGCCUAUCAGCUUGUUGGUGGGGUAAUGGCCCACCAAGGCGACGACGGGUAGCCGGCCUGAGAGGGCGACCGGCCACACUGGGACUGAGACACGGCCCAGACUCCUACGGGAGGCAGCAGUGGGGAAUAUUGCACAAUGGGCGAAAGCCUGAUGCAGCGACGCCGCGUGAGGGAUGACGGCCUUCGGGUUGUAAACCUCUUUCAGCAGGGAAGAAGCGAAAGUGACGGUACCUGCAGAAGAAGCGCCGGCUAACUACGUGCCAGCAGCCGCGGUAAUACGUAGGGCGCAAGCGUUGUCCGGAAUUAUUGGGCGUAAAGAGCUCGUAGGCGGCUUGUCACGUCGGAUGUGAAAGCCCGAGGCUUAACCUCGGGUCUGCAUUCGAUACGGGCUAGCUAGAGUGUGGUAGGGGAGAUCGGAAUUCCUGGUGUAGCGGUGAAAUGCGCAGAUAUCAGGAGGAACACCGGUGGCGAAGGCGGAUCUCUGGGCCAUUACUGACGCUGAGGAGCGAAAGCGUGGGGAGCGAACAGGAUUAGAUACCCUGGUAGUCCACGCCGUAAACGUUGGGAACUAGGUGUUGGCGACAUUCCACGUCGUCGGUGCCGNANCUAACGCAUNANUUCCCCNCUGGGGANNCNGNCNCAAGGCUAAACUCAANGAAUUGACGGGGNCCCCNCAACNGNGGACUGUNGCUUAUUCGACGCACGNAANAACUUACAGGGUNACUUNCCGGAANCNUAAAANNUGCCCCUNGGGGCGNNANAGNGGGCUGGUGCCC